UACGGGGGGGGCAAGCGUUGUUCGGAAUUACUGGGCGUAAAGGGCGCGUAGGCGGCCUGCUAAGUCGGAUGUGAAAUCCCUCGGCUCAACCGAGGAACUGCAUCCGAUACUGGCGGGCUUGAAUCCGGGAGAGGGAUGUGGAAUUCCAGGUGUAGCGGUGAAAUGCGUAGAUAUCUGGAGGAACACCGGUGGCGAAGGCGGCAUCCUGGACCAACACUGACACUGAGGAGCGAAAGCCAGGGGAGCAAACGGG
rnacentral:rRNA from 1 species